GUGCCAGCCGCCGCGGUAAUACGAAGGGGGCGAGCGUUGUUCGGAAUUACUGGGCGUAAAGGGCGCGUAGGCGGCGAUCCUAGUCAGAUGUGAAAGUCCUGGGCUUAACCUGGGGACUGCAUUUGAUACUGGAUUGCUUGAAUGCAGGAGAGGAUAGCGGAAUUCCCAGUGUAGAGGUGAAAUUCGUAGAUAUUGGGAAGAACACCGGUGGCGAAGGCGGCUAUCUGGACUGUGAUUGACGCUGAGGCGCGAAAGCGUGGGGAGCAAACAGGAUUAGAUACCCGCGUAGUCC
rnacentral:rRNA from 1 species